GACGCCGUAGACAAGUGGAUCAAGUCGAGAGUCUGCAAAACUCUUAUUCGUGGGUUCGAAUCCCACCGGCGUCU
rfam:Candidatus Woesebacteria bacterium RIFOXYB1_FTLL_40_26 rifoxyb1_full_scaffold_2035, whole genome shotgun sequence.